rnacentral:rRNA from 1 species
GUAGGGUGCGAGCGUUAUCCGGAAUCAUUGGGGCGUAAAGAGCUCGUAGGCGGUUCAGCAAGUCGGCUGUGAAAUUCCGAGGGCUCAACCUCGGAACUGCAGUCGAUACUGCUGUGACUCGAGUCCGGUAGAGGAGAAUGGAAUUCAGGGUGUAGCGGUGAAAUGCGCAGAUAUCCUGAGGAACACCAGUAGCGAAGGCGGUUCUCUGGGCCGGUACUGACGCUGAGGAGCGAAAGCGUGGGUAGCAAACAGGAUUAGAUACCCUGGUAGUCCACGCCGUAAACGUUGGACACUAGGUGUGGCGUUCCGACCAACGGGUGCCGUGCCGAAGCUAACGCAUUAAGUGUCCCGCCUGGGGAGUACGGCCGCAAAGGCUA